GAAGCAACUUCGUGGGCAGCCAGCCCCGGAGCGCGUGGUCUGCAGCCCAAGCACGCAUCUCUCUGUUCUUGGCUGUAAGAAUGAGGCUUUCCUUUGCUUUUGAGCCCAGCUCUUUCUUUUGGUGCCAGUGACACUGGGCAUGAGGACCUUUGUUGGGGAACCGACUCCUGAGGGUCCUAACAAAACCAGUGCGGGUUCCUAACUUCUAAAUAAAUACAAGCCCCGGGAUGCAGACAGCACGGCAGAUGCAGAGGCGUCACGUGUGUGCGCCCUCCCUCUGGAAGCCAGCUAAUAAUUUCUCAUUAGCAAGAACAAGUGAAAAAGAUGGCUGUUCCACCAGAAACCCAUUGAAUAUGAUAAUGGAGACCCCUCCUCCCCGCUCAGAUUCGGGCUGGAGACCACCCCUGGUGCCUUCCUGCUCUAACCGAGAUUUUUUUUCUAGGAGCUUCUGGACAAAACCCCCCUGGGAUUUGGGAAAGAGCCACUUGAGGAGAAGGCCUCUGUCCCUUCUGUGUUUUCUACCUCCAGUGUCCUGCCUUUGCCUGAGGUUGUGAUGGCUGGGGUUGUGGCAGCUUUCUUGUUACCGCAGUGCCACAUGUCCUAUGUUGAGCCCGCGUUGCAACUCAAUUUCUUCCUCUGUCCAGUCCUCCUUCCCUCCUCUUCCCUCAAGAAUGUUGAUCCUAAGAGCACUUCCUAAUAAAAUCCUUGCA